rnacentral:rRNA from 1 species
UACAGAGGUCUCAAGCGUUGUUCGGAUUCAUUGGGCGUAAAGGGUGCGUAGGCGGCGCGGUAAGUCGGGUGUGAAAUCUCGGGGCUUAACUCCGAAACUGCAUUCGAUACUGCCGUGCUUGAGGACUGGAGAGGAGACUGGAAUUUACGGUGUAGCGGUGAAAUGCGUAGAUAUCGUAAGGAAGACCAGUGGCGAAGGCGGGUCUCCGGACAGUUCCUGACGCUGAGGCACGAAGGCCAAGGGGAGGCAAACGGG